UGUUUAGCCAAGGCAGAGGGUUGUCCCCAGGAAGAUCAUUCUGCUUCCUCCUGCUGCAAAGAUGGCAGGGCAUCUACAAGUGCAUGCUCUAGUGCCCCACAGAGCAGGUCCUGUUUAAAAAUCAUUACUAUGUCUUUUCCAUGGGAACCCAGCUCCAGUGUUGCACUUUCUUGUAUUGCUGUGAGGGGGCUGUUAUCAGAUAAUAAAAAUGAAAGGAAGCUCCCAGCCCAUCAGUUGAUGAGGUUUCAGCCUGGGAUGCCGCAGUCCGGUAGUGAUGAGCCCCUGGUGGGGAGGAACCCCUGUAAUGUUGGUAUAAUAUUAUCUUUCUGUCAGCUGUUUGUGGCAGUCCUUACCAUGGUCAUGCUUUCAGUUCUGGGCAGUUCUGCACCCCAUCUUUCUGUCUCCCUGAAACGUUCUUGUGCAUGAAGAUCAUGUCACCGCCAGCCCUUCAAAGAACACACAAUUUUAAAUUCCAUCUACAAAAGACAUACAUUGUUUAAAUUCAUAGAAUAUCCUGAGUUGGAAG